CAAUAGCGUAUAUUAAUGUUGUUGCAGUUAAAAGCUCGUAGUUGGAUUUCUGGCUGGAGUGUCCGGUCCCGCCCCUCCAUCCGGGAUGCGGGGUUGGUUUACGUUUUAGGGUUCAUUGGGCUUUUUGGACCCUUUAUCCGGCCUUAGGCUCCGAUUGGGCAGGAGCGAAGCUGGAUUGGGGUGGGCCAAUUUUAAAAGGUUUUGGUUCGUGUUGGGAUCGCCAUCAUUUACUGUGAAAAAUUAGAGUGUUUAAAGCAGGCGUUUGCUGUGAAUACAUUAGCAUGGAAUAAUAAGAUAGGACUUUGGUGCUAUUUUGUUGGUUUGUACACCGAGGUAAUGAUUAAUAGGGACAGUUGGGGUGAUUCGUAUU
rnacentral:rRNA from 1 species